GAUGAACGCUGGCGGCGUGCCUAAUACAUGCAAGUCGAGCGAACAGACGAGGAGCUUGCUCCUCUGACGUUAGCGGCGGACGGGUGAGUAACACGUGGAUAACCUACCUAUAAGACUGGGAUAACUUCGGGAAACCGGAGCUAAUACCGGAUAAUAUAUUGAACCGCAUGGUUCAAUAGUGAAAGACGGUUUUGCUGUCACUUAUAGAUGGAUCCGCGCCGCAUUAGCUAGUUGGUAAGGUAACGGCUUACCAAGGCAACGAUGCGUAGCCGACCUGAGAGGGUGAUCGGACACACUGGAACUGAGACACGGUCCAGACUCCUACGGGAGGCAGCAGUAGGGAAUCUUCCGCAAUGGGCGAAAGCCUGACGGAGCAACGCCGCGUGAGUGAUGAAGGUCUUCGGAUCGUAAAACUCUGUUAUUAGGGAAGAAAAAAUGUGUAAGUAACUAUGCACGUCUUGACGGUACCUAAUCAGAAAGCCACGGCUAACUACGUG
rnacentral:rRNA from 1 species